rnacentral:rRNA from 1 species
CGGGACCUACGGGGCGCAGCAGUAGGGAAUCUUCCACAAUGGGCGAAAGCCUGAUGGAGCAACGCCGCGUGGGUGAAGAAGGUCUUCGGAUCGUAAAACCCUGUUGUUGGAGAAGAAAGUGCGUGAGAGUAACUGUUCACGUUUCGACGGGAUCUAACCAGAAAGCCACGGCUAACUACGUGCCAGCAGCCGCGGUAAUACGUAGGUGGCAAGCGUUAUCCGGAUUUAUUGGGCGUAAAGGGAAGGC